GAACAACAGGGAUUGCCCCAGUAACGGCGAGUGAAGCGGCAACAGCUCAAAUUUGAAAUCUGGCCCCCAGGGCCCGAGUUGUAAUUUGCAGAGGAUGCUUUUGGCGCGGUGCCUUCCGAGUUCCCUGGAACGGGACGCCACAGAGGGUGAGAGCCCCGUCUGGUCGGACGCCAAGCCAGUGUAAAGCUCCUUCGACGAGUCGAGUAGUUUGGGAAUGCUGCUCUAAAUGGGAGGUAUAUGUCUUCUAAAGCUAAAUACCGGCCAGAGACCGAUAGCGCACAAGUAGAGUGAUCGAAAGAUGAAAAGCACUUUGAAAAGAGGGUUAAACAGUACGUGAAAUUGUUGAAAGGGAAGCGCUUGUGACCAGACUUGGGCCCGGUGAAUCAUCCAGCGUUCUCGCUGGUGCACUUCGCCGGGCUCAGGCCAGCAUCAGUUCGCCGCGGGGGACAAAAGCUUCGGGAACGUGGCUCCCUCGGGAGUGUUAUAGCCCGCUGCAUAAUACCCUGCGGUGGACUGAGGUUCGCGCUCCGCAAGGAUGCUGGCGUAAUGGUCAUCAGCGACCCGUCUUGAAACACGGACCAAGGAGUCGUCUUCGUAUGCGAGUGUUCGGGUGCCAAACCCCUACGCGUAAUGAAAGUGAACGCAGGUGAGAGCUUCGGCGCAUCAUCGACCGAUCCUGAUGUUCUCGGAUGGAUUUGAGUAAGAGCAUACGGGGCCGGACCCGAAAGAAGGUGAACUAUGCCUGUAUAGGGUGAAGCCAGAGGAAACUCUGGUGGAGGCUCGCAGCGGUUCUGACGUGCAAAUCGAUCGUCAAAUAUGGGCAUGGGGGCGAAAGACUAAUCGAACCUUCUAGUAGCUGGUUUCCGCCGAUUU
rnacentral:rRNA from 1 species